AAGCCAACGACUCAUAACAGAUUGAAGCACAAAUUUAGGAUCCUUAUUUUGAAGUUCACGAGGAGGUAUAGACAAAUUAAAAGACUUUAUAACUUUCUCAAGCAUCCCCCUAUCUCCAUCUUCUUCCACAGCAGCUUGAUAAACCUGCCAAAGUGGCUCAAGAACAAAUUGCACAAACAUGGGCCUAGCUUUACUUCCACUACUAAUUCCCUUUUUACCUACAAUCAUCUUAGUCUUGGCGUUAUAAUACCGAGGUCCCCAUAAUGCCUUCUGCAUGGCAGCUGAACUUGCACCCAGUUUCGAAGCAUAAAACUCAGCAAAAUCACUAAUACUAAAGCCCCAUCCAUCUAGUGCACAUACAAACGCGACAUUCCCCUUCUGGGGUUGGAAAGUAUCCUCUUCAUCCUCCUCUAACAACUCAAGAUCUGGAUUUUCAUCCUCCACUAGUCCAGCCGGAGCAGAGAGCAGAGAAUCAACAUCCGACAAAUACUUUUCAGACUUGUAAGCACUCACUAUACUAUUAACCUCAUGAACAAUCCUCUGCAACCUAGUAUACGCCUCAAGCGGAGUCAAUCUCAAUUCAACAAUCAACCUAUCAAUCUUGUUCAAAACCAAACACGGGGUAAGUUUCUCAAUCCACGCCUGACGCAGAACUGCAUGAGUCUGAAUGUGAACACCUUCUACAGCAUCCACUAAUACCA
rnacentral:misc_RNA from 1 species